rnacentral:rRNA from 1 species
UACAGAGGGUGCAAGCGUUGUUCGGAAUUAUUGGGCGUAAAGGGCGCGUAGGCGGUUCGGCAAGUCUCUAGUGAAAUCUCUGGGCUCAACUCAGAGUCUGCUGGGGAAACUGCCGGGCUUGAGUGUGGGAGAGGAGAGUGGAAUUCCCGGUGUAGCGGUGAAAUGCGUAGAUAUCAGGAGGAACACCUGUGGCGAAAGCGGCGCACUGGACCACAACUGACGCUGAGGCGCGAAAGCUAGGGGAGCAAACAGG